rnacentral:rRNA from 1 species
GUGUAUGGCCAUGCCACCCUGAACGUGCCCAGUCUCAUCUGAUCUCAGAAGCUAAGCAAGGUCGCGCCUGGUUAGUACUUGGAUGAGAGACCACCUAGAGGAAUACCAGGUACUAUAGGCA